rnacentral:rRNA from 1 species
AUGCAAGUCGAACGAGACCUUCGGGUCUAGUGGCGCACGGGUGCGUAACGCGUAGGCAAUCUACCCGAUACAGGGGAAUAACACGGGGAAACUCGUGCUAAUACUGCGUAAUAAAUGAGAAGGCAUCUUCUUAUUUUAAAAGCUUCGGCGGUAUCGGAAGAGCCUGCGUCCUAUUAGCUAGUUGGUAAGGUAACAGCUUACCAAGGCGACGAUAGGUAGGGGAACUGAGAGGUUGAUCCCCCACACUGGUACUGAGAUACGGACCAGACUCCUACGGGAGGCAGCAGUGAGGAAUAUUGGUCAAUGGACGGAAGUCUGAACCAGCCAUGCCGCGUGUCGGAAGACGGCCCUCUGGGUUGUAAACGGCUUUUCUUUGGGAAGAACACGCUCUUGCGAGAGCAACUGACGGUACCAAAGGAAUAAGCACCGGCUAACUACGUGCCAGCAGCCGCGGUAAUACGUAGGGUGCAAGCGUUGUCCGGAUUUAUUGGGUUUAAAGGGUGCGUAGGCGGCUAUUUAAGUCGUGGGUGAAAGCCCGUCGCUUAACGACGGAAUUGCCUGCGAUACUGGAUAGCUUGAGUAUCGUUAAGGUUGGCGGAAUGGGAGGUGUAGCGGUGAAAUGCAUAGAUACCUUCCAGAACACCGAUUGCGUAGGCAGCUGACUAGGCGAUAACUGACGCUGAGGCAACGAAGCGUGGGGAGCGAACA